AAUAAUUCUUCCAGGGAAAUUACAAGGGACAGAAUCUUUGUGCAAUGUGCUUAUUGUAAGAUCCCUGUAUUUCUGCUGCCUGUGACGUAAUUUUAUUUCCUUGCAAAUCUUUCUAGCCGCAAAAAAACCAAAACCAAAGACAACUAAGGAAAAAGAAGGUAGGAUUUACUCUGUGUGUGCAUAUAUAUGUAGAAAAUAACAAUAAAAAUAGCAUGAGAUUGCAAAUUUGUAUGUAUUGUUGUUUGAAACAACCCCUAAUACAUCUGUGUUAAUUUUCAAAGAAUAUUACCAGACAAUUCUAGGUAAUAAUCUAUUCAACAGUCAACUUACCAAACUUGAACUGUGCUACUUUUUCCUUGCUAGAAAAACCAACUGAGAAGAAACAGCUGAAAAAUGAAAAAAACAAAGGUGCCCCACCAGUAAAAGAAGCCCCACGACAUCAAAACCUGACAUCAGCUCCUGUUCGCUACUUUCAAUGUGUCUUCCUAAAUGGACCUAAUGGAUUUGGGCUGCAAUUUCCCACUAAUCCCCCUUCAAACAAGGAAGAAAAGACUCACUCAAAGACUUCCAAGAGAAAGACAAGGAAACCGGGGCAGUAGAGAGACUGAGUCCUGUGAUCACUGAUAUUUUGCACUUUACCUUUUCUGCUGAGGUCCACAGUAGCUACAAUGGUACUUAUCAUUGCAAGAACGUGAUCCACUUGCACACAUGUACCUGUAUAAAAUUUCCAUAGGGCAGAGGCAGAACAAGCAGUAAUGAACUGUGUUUAACAAAAAGAAAUGUAAAAGUGCCCCGUUUCUCAUGGAAAGGCUGCAAUGCUAACAAAGCAUUGACAUGACUGUGUGUGUGAGCAUGUGUGUGUGUUUUCCUGCCUCUUUUGCUCUUGUUUUUCUUUACCUACAUGCUCAGCAUUGAAGUGAGUCUGUUUUCCAUUUAAUCUUAUCUAAGCAGAGAAAUGUUGAAUGUAGCUCUUAUAUCAGCAAGAUUGCAAGGCUUCCUGCAAUCCUAAAUCAUUUCUUCUUAAAGUUCAAUCAAACUGCUGACAGGAAAAAACCUCACUAAGUCGUGCAAAUGUGCUCUGUGACUGGUUCUAUUUUUAUGUCUCAUUGACCAGUGUAGCCUAAAGCUCACACUUACUUGGAACAGCCCAACAUACUACCAGUAAGUUGACUCCCCAAGUCAUGCUAAUGAUGAAUAUUUCUAUUUAACUUAAAGUUGUAAAGGCAUGGACUGUUUGCCCUGCCUGUUGGUGAAAUACAAACUCAUCUCCUUUUAAAGCCCAAAGUGAGAAGAGAAAGUGAAACCACAUGGCAAAGUUCAGGAAAACCAGUGUUUUACCAACAUGAAAGUCCCCAGAAACUAAUGAAAUAGUUAUAGUGCUUCUAGUUUUCUUCUGCAGCUAAAUCAGACUGACUUGCACUGAAAACCUUGUAAAUGGAGAAUAUACCAGCCAACCGUUGGCUAUUAGCAUAAGUCAG
rnacentral:lncRNA from 1 species